rnacentral:rRNA from 1 species
CGUAGGGUGCGAGCGUUGUCCGGAAUUAUUGGGCGUAAAGGGCUCGUAGGCGGUCUGUCGCGUCGGGAGUGAAAACUCAGGGGCUUAAACCCUGAGCCUGCUUCCGAUACGGGCGAGACUAGAGGUAUGCAGGGGAGGAACGGAAUUCCUGGUGGUAGCGGUGAAAUAGCGCAGAUAUCAGGAGGAACACCAGUGGCGAAGGCGGUUCUCUGGGCAUUACCUGACGCUGAGGAGCGAAAGUAGUGGGGGAGGCGAACAGGAUU